UUUAUUACUUGUACAAUAGAAAAAAAGUGAAGUCAACUCUACAUCUUUACAUUGUUGAGAUUUAUAUUUCAAUUUUUUUUCAAAAAAAAGCAACGUCAGUAAUUACUCGAAAAGAUGCAAUUAUUUCACAUUUUCCCAACUGAAUAUUUUUUAUCAGAUAUUCAAACAUUACAGCUCAGUUGAUAAUCUUUUUUUAUCAACAGUCAGAAACACAGAUUAAAUUCAGCCCACAGUCAGAAUUAUUAUUAUUAAUAAAAUAAAAAUAAAAAAAUGUAAAAAAAAUUUUUUUUUUUUAUAACAGUUUGUUAGUGACAGCAGAUGGAAUUGGAAGUGCUGGCCUCCUUACCUUAUUAUACAAAUUUAGGAAUAUCCCUAAAAAGAAAUCCAAAUUCUCCACAAGUUAACAAGUUAACAAAAAAAAAUUUUUUAGUUUAUUUAGUAGAAAACUAUAUUUUCGUUUAGAAAUCGCUUCAGAGAAAAAUUGUAAUGAAAAAAAGACCAAAAAUAUUUUUUAAUACUAAAAUUUUUGGAAAUAGUUUUUUUUUGCAGAUCUUUACAAAAUAUGAAUUUCCUGGAAGUAAUGCUCUUCUAAUCGUUUAUAAUCUCUUGUUAUUCACUUGUAUGUAAAACAAUGCUUAUGUAUACAUAAAAAAGAAUAAAUAAAAUAAAAAUUAAAAAUA